UACGGAGGGUGCGAGCGUUGUCCGGAAUCAUUGGGCGUAAAGCGCGUGUAGGCGGCCCGGUAAGUCCGCUGUGAAAGUCGGGGGCUCAACCCUCGGAUGCCGGUGGAUACUGUCGGGCUUGAGUACGGAAGAGGCGAGUGGAAUUCCUGGUGUAGCGGUGAAAUGCGCAGAUAUCAGGAGGAACACCAAUUGCGAAGGCAGCUCGCUGGGACGUUACUGACGCUGAGACGCGAAAGCGUGGGGAGCAAACAGG
rnacentral:rRNA from 1 species